AUUCUUCCGCAUUGGACGCAAGUCUGACGGAGCAUCGCCGCGUCAUUGAUGAAGGUAUGCGGUUCGUAAAACUCUGUUGUUAGGGAAGAAUAAGUAUCGCCGUCAAUGCCGGUACCCUGACGGUACCUGACGAGAACCGUACGGCUAACUACGUGCCAGCAUCGGCGGUAAUACGUAGGUGGCAAUCGUUGUCCGGAUUUAUUGGGCGUAAAGCGCGCGCAGGCGGUCUUUUAAGUCUGAUGUGAAAUCUUACAGCUUAACUGUAAGCGGUCAUUGGUAACUGGGAGACUUGAGUGCAGAAGAGGAGAGUGGAAUUCCAUGUGUAGCGGUGAAAUGCGUAGAGGUAUGGAGGAACACCAGUGGCGAAGGCGGCUCUCUGGUCUGCAACUGACGCUGAGGCGCGAAAGCGUGGGGAUCAAACA
rnacentral:rRNA from 1 species